GGCCAAAGCAAGAACAAAGGAAGAAAAGAAAGAACAAGAACCCUAGGGUGAAAAUUCAAGAGAAAAUUGGUGGAUUUCAAGUAAUCAAGCUAUCAAAGGUAAAAUUUCUUGAUUUUGACUUAUGAUCUAUCUUUCCUAUGCAUUCUUUUGCAUUUUUCAUGGUUGAAUCACAUGAUUUCAUGAUGGGUAUCUUGCUGGCCGAACACUUAGAAAGAGAUGUUGGUGCUUGAUUUGGUUAGAUUUUAAUGUAUUUUAGUGUUUUUAGUUAGUUAGUGAUGUGUAGCAUGAAAAGCCAACAAGAAAAAUUUAUUUUCUCCCAUCACCCAUCAUUCGCCGAAUUCUCCAUGUAGAAUAUUGAUGAUGAUUUUGAUUUUAUUUCAAGUGAUUUGGUUAGGAAUUAGUGAUUUAUGGUGUGAGAAUCAAGCUUGAAAAAUUAUAAUGUUGAUGCACCCACCAUGGCCGAAUUUUCCAAGAGAAAAUGUGAGGAUGAUUUUGCCAUAUUUCAAGUUAUUUAAUUUGUGUUUGAUGAUUUGGAGUAUUAGGAGAAAAAUGAAAUUAUUUAGGGUUAAAUUGGACAUAUUGGCCAAUUAAUCGAGUGAUAGAUCGAAUUAGGCCAAUACCGUUUUAUUUAGGUACACAGUUGAAUUUGUGUAGAACACCGUAUUUAGACGAUAAUCCGAACAAUUUACAUCCCAUUUCAUGCAUUAGUAUAGAGCCUAACUUGGUUUUAUAACAAUUUAGCACAAAUUUAGUAAAUGGCUUAUUGUGCAUUAUGUCUAGGUGGUGAGCUUUCUGACAAAAACAAAGAGAUAGUACCUGAGGAUCAAGAAUCGGAGUACUCGGAAUUCGACUCCCGAAAUAGUGAGUAACCUUAUCAUCAUCUUGAUUAUCUGAAGUGAAUUUUAAUUCGUUUUUGUGAUUUUAUGGAAAAUGAGUUUAAAUGGUAAAUCUUUAUGUUUUAUAAACAAAAUGUGUUUAAAUGAAAUGAUUUUAUAAAAUUGUCUUAAAAUUGAAAGAUGGUUUUGAAAAUGGAGUAAUUGGAGACUAAUUGUUGUGUUAUAAAUCACGGUUUGAAUUGAUUGGCUUAUGAUAAUAAUUGCAUGAAUGGCUGAAUUGGUAUUUGUGUUGAAAAUGUAUGAACUGUUAAUUUGCCUUAAGAGGCUAUAAAAUAAAAUAAUUGCCAUGUCAUAUUGUUAAAUUUUAUUGAAUUGGUGGAUUAUAUAUUUGUCACUACAGUGGACGGGUUCCGUGGACUAGCCUAUUAGAGGGGCACGAUAACCCUAUUAUAUUCAUACCUCAGUAUGAGAGGCGCGGUUGAAUAACUCUUGAGGUUAAAACUUUAGAGUUCACUUCACGCCAAACCACCACGUGAGGGUGAACUCAACCAACGCCAAGGAACGACUAUGUUUUCAAUAAAAAAAACAUGAUUUAUGCGUACAUGACUUUUUAACAGCCUUGACGGACUCGGUUGGGAUAGCCCUCGGCCAAGGUAUCCUUGAUAAUUGAGUAUGAGAAUGAUUUUUGCACGAGCCAAACUUUUCAGGAAAUCAUAAGCCUCGUUGUUUAUUUUGGUGAAAUGUAUCUAUUUUAUCUUAUUAAAAUGAGUUAGAAAUGUUGGGAAUCAUUUUUAUGCUAAUCUAUUUUAUUUGUCUCCAUUUACUCAGCUUUAGAUAUUUUAGAUGGUAUUUGUUUACUCACUGGGAUUAUAUAAUCUCACCACCCUCCUUUUCACCCCUUUCAGGCUCAAGAUAGUCGAUAGAUAGCUCACUUUAUUGAGGGCUACAGUUGGACUUGCAUCCUCAAAAACUAUAGGUUUACCGCUUUAGAUACUUUUGGUCGUUCAUGGGCCCAUGUGUCACUGUAAAUUAAAUUUUAUACUUUGGUUAUCUGUAUUACAGUAUGUAUGAAUUUAUUUAGCUUUUAUGCUACAAAAAUUAUUUACCGGUAACUCUAUAAAUAUUGUUUUAUAAGAAAAUAAAAUAUUUUAUUGAAUAUUUUUAUUAUAUUCAAACAGUC
rnacentral:lncRNA from 1 species